AGAAUCAACGCUGGCGGCGUGCCUAACACAUGCAAGUCGCACGAGAAAGGGGAGCAAUCCCUGAGUACAGUGGCGCACGGGUGAGUAACACGUGAAUCAUCUACCUCCGAGUGGGGAAUAACUGAGAGAAAUCUUAGCUAAUACCGCAUAACACUUACGAGUCAAAGCAGCAAUGCGCUUGGAGAGGAGUUCGCGGCAGAUUAGUUAGUUGGCGGGGUAAUGGCCCACCAAGACGAUGAUCUGUAUCCGGCCUGAGAGGGCGCACGGACACACUGGAACUGAAACACGGUCCAGACUCCUACGGGAGGCAGCAGUGGGGAAUUUUGCGCAAUGGGGGAAACCCUGACGCAGCAACGCCGCGUGGAGGAUGAAGCCCUUGGGGUGUAAACUCCUUUCGAUCGGGAAGAUAAUGACGGUACCGAUAUAAGAAGCCCGGCUAACUUCGCGCCAGCAGCCGC
rnacentral:rRNA from 1 species